rnacentral:rRNA from 1 species
GACGAACGCUGGCGGCGUGCUUAACACAUGCAAGUCGAACGCUGAACCCGCUUCGGUGGGGGAUGAGUGGCGAACGGGUGAGUAACACGUGGGCAACCUGCCCCCGGCUCUGGGAUAACUCCAAGAAAUUGGGGCUAAUACCGGAUGUGACCGCUGGCCGCAUGGUCUGGUGGUGGAAAGGGUUUCCGGCUGGGGAUGGGCCCGCGGCCUAUCAGCUUGUUGGUGGGGUAGUGGCCUACCAAGGCGACGACGGGUAGCCGGCCUGAGAGGGUGACCGGCCACACUGGGACUGAGACACGGCCCAGACUCCUACGGGAGGCAGCAGUGGGGAAUAUUGCGCAAUGGGCGGAAGCCUGACGCAGCGACGCCGCGUGGGGGAUGACGGCCUUCGGGUUGUAAACCUCUUUCAGCAGGGACGAAGCGCAAGUGACGGUACCUGCAGAAGAAGCACCGGCCAACUACG